AAGUUCAUUUAUAAGAGAUUAAAAUAAGGAUCCCCUGGUAGGGAAGGGAAAAGCCUUCGGGCUUACCUGCUACCGUAUACAGUUAAAGCUUCCCACCUUCUAUGGUGGGUCUUAUACCCAAUUUUA